CAAACGGCUCUUAUCAGAGCCACCACAAAAACAAAACAAAAAAGAA
rfam:Solenopsis invicta Si_gnG.contig35663, whole genome shotgun sequence.